rnacentral:rRNA from 1 species
UACAGAGGGUGCGAGCGUUGUCCGGAAUCACUGGGCGUAAAGGGCGCGUAGGUGGCGCCGCAAGUCCAUGGUGAAAGCUCGAUGCUCAACAUCGAGUCGGCCACGGAGACUGCGGGGCUCGAGCACUGUAGGGGCAGAUGGAAUUCCGGGUGUAGCGGUGGAAUGCGUAGAGAUCCGGAAGAACACCGGUGGCGAAGGCGGUCUGCUGGGCAGUUGCUGACACUGAGGCGCGACAGCGUGGGGGAGCAA